GGCUCGUUGGUCUAGAGGUAUGAUUCUUGCUUUGGGUACGAGAGGUCCUGUGUUCAAAUCCCCAACGACCUC